ensembl:lncRNA
UGUGUGUGUGUGUGUGUGUGUGUGUGUGUGUGUGUGUGUGUGUGUGUGUGUGUGUGUGUCCUUUAUGUAUAAAGACAGUGUGAAAGAGUGUAAGAGAGAGAGAGAGAACUAAAGAGAAAAAUAAAAUCUUUUUACACUGAGUAUAUGUUGUCCAGUGGCGAGAUGUCCACAUAGCACUCCUGUCCCCCUCUGUUAAAUGCUCACAGCUCAGAGACAAUGAGACAAACAAGGCUUAAAACCAAACAGAGCAACUCCAUCAGACGUGACCAGUACCUCGUACGGACCCAGCUUUAUUCCCCCCUUAUCCUUAUCCCUUCCUCACCCCUCCUUCCCCCACUCAGUGUGGUCAGUGUGUGUUAACAGUUAAAUAACAACACAAACAGUUCACUAUCCAGUUCAGUCCACAAUUUCUUGUUUUAUUUCUCUUUAGUAAGAGAGAUCACCAACAUCAGGCUGACUGUGGCUUUAGUAACAGGGAUCACCAACUCCAGGCUGACUGUCUGCUGUGGCUUUAGUAACAGGGAUCACCAACUCCAGGCUGACUGUCUGCUGUGGCUUUAGUAACAGGGAUCACCAACUCCAGGCUGACUGUCUGCUGUGGCUUUAGUAAAAGAGAUCACCAACUCCAGGCUGACUGUCUGCUGUGGCUUUAGUAACAGGGAUCAUCAACUCCAGGCUGGCUGUGGCUUUAGUAACAGGGAUCAUCAACUCCAGGCUGACUGUCUGCUGUGGCUUUAGUAACAGGGAUCACCAACUCCAGGCUGACUGUCUGCUGUGGCUUUAGUAACAGGGAUCAUCAACUCCAGGCUAACUAUCUGUUGUGGCUUUAGUAACAGGGAUCACCAACUCCAGGCUGACUGUCUGCUGUGGCUUUAGUAACAGGGAUCACCAACUCCAGGCUGACUGUCUGCUGUGGCUUUAGUAACAGGGAUCAUCAACUCCAGGCUGACUGUCUGCUGUGGCUUUAGUAACAGGGAUCAUCAACUCCAGGCUGACUGUCUGCUGUGGCUUUAGUAACAGGGAUCACCAACUCCAGGCUGACUGUCUGCUGUGGCUUUAGUAACAGGGAUCAUCAACUCCAGGCUGACUGUCUGCUGUGGCUUUAGUAACAGGGAUCAUCAACUCCAGGCUGACUGUCUGCUGUGGCUUUAGUAACAGGGAUCAUCAACUCCAGGCUGGCUGUGGCUUUAGUAACAGGGAUCAUCAACUCCAGGCUGACUGUCUGCUGUGGCUUUAGUAACAGGGAUCAUCAACUCCAGGCUGACUGUCUGCUGUGGCUUUAGUAACAGGGAUCAUCAACUCCAGGCUGACUGUCUGCU